UGGCUUUUUCAGAGCUGUAUUAGAGCAACC
rnacentral:piRNA from 1 species